rnacentral:piRNA from 1 species
UNCUCAUUUCUUCUGGUCAAAAGACUAGCAUU